rnacentral:rRNA from 1 species
AUGUGUGGGGUAAGUCCGGUAGGGAGCGCAACCGUUAUCCUGUUUGCCAGCAAGUAAAGUUGGGGACUCGCAGGAGACUGCCGGGGUCAACUCGGAGGAAGCUGGGGACGACGUCAAGUCAUCAUGCCCCUUAUGCCCAGGGCUGCAAACACGCUACAAUGGCCGGUACAGAGGGCUGCGAUCCCGUGAGGGUGAGCGAAUCCCACAAAGCCGGUCUCAGUUCGGAUUGGAGUCUGCAACUCGACUCCAUGAAGCCGGAGUUGCUAGUAAUCCCGGAUCAGCACGCCGGGGUGAAUACGUUCCCGGGCCUUGUACACACCGCCCGUCACACCACGAAAGUCGGCAACACCCGAAGCCGGUGGCCCAACCCGCAAGGGAGGGAGCCGUCGAAGGUGGGGUCGGUGAUUGGGGUGAAGUCGUAACAAGGUAA